CCGGCGCGGGGCGGGGCGGGCACAAGGAUGCGGCUGCUGCUCCUGUGUGUCGUCCCCGCCCUGUGUGUCCCGGGGGUCCGAGGGGGGCUGGCGGCGUCGGGCGGCGGCGUGCGGGGCGCGGGCGGCUCCACCCGCCUCUCCUGCACCGUGUCGGGGCCGGAGCUGAGCGGCCACAAGGUGCGCUGGUACCGGCAGAGCCCGGGCCGGGGGCCGGAGUUCGUGUCGUGGGUGUCUCCCGAGGGGACCGCCCGCUACGCGGAGGCAGCCGGGGGCCGCUUCGUCGUUUCCCAGGACAAGGCCGGGAGCCAGGUGCAUCUGCACAUGCAGCGCCUGAGCGCCCGGGACAGCGGCGUGUAUCGCUGCGCCACGCGCACCACGGCGAGGCGGCGCCGGCCUCUGCUCCGGCAUAAACCUCCCCGGGGCGGGGCGGGGCGGGGCGGGGCGGGGCUGGCCGGGCGAGUGUGGAAGCGCUGCGGGGAUCUGCCCCCACCCCCUGCUACCGUCGGGGGACGCCCUUGGGACCUCCCCACGGGGGAGCAGUGCAGCUUCCCGCAGCGCUUGCCCACUCCCCGCAUGGUCCCAGCGGAGCGGAUCCCUGAGGUCUCUCCCCAGGCUCUGCUCACUCCCAGCCCCACCGGGCUAAGACUAGCUGAGCUGGGAGAGGGCAGCCACGCUGGGAUGGUGCAAGAUUCCUGCUAG